rfam:Triticum aestivum genome assembly, contig: Triticum_aestivum_CS42_TGACv1_scaffold_591849_7BS
UACGUACUCCCUCCGUCCCAAAAUAUUUGUCGAAAAAAUGAAUAAAAUUGGAUGUAUCUAUAACUAAAAUACGGCUAAAUUCAUCCAUUUUCCCGACAAGUAUCUCGGGACGGAGGGAGUACGUA